AUUGAACGCUGGCGGCGUGCCUAACACAUGCAAGUCGAGCGGUAACAGGUGUAGCAAUACAUGCUGACGAGCGGCGAACGGGUGAGUAAUGCUUCGGAAUCUACCUUAUGGUGGGGAAUAACUAGCCGAAAGGUUAGCUAAUACCGCAUACGUCCUACGGGAGAAAGCAGGGGAUCGCAAGACCUUGCGCCAAAAGAUGAGCCGAAGUCGGAUUAGCUAGUUGGUAGGGUAACGGCCUACCAAGGCGACGAUCCGUAGCUGGUCGGAGAGGACGACCAGCCACACUGGGACUGAGACACGGCCCAGACUCCUACGGGAGGCAGCAGUGGGGAAUAUUGGACAAUGGGGGAAACCCUGAUCCAGCGACGCCGCGUGUGUGAAGAAGGCCUGCGGGUUGUAAAGCACUUUUAGUGGGGAUGAAAUGUGCAGGGUUAAUACCUCUGCAUUUUGACCUAACCCACAGAAAAAGCACCGGCUAACUCUGUGCCAGCAGCCGCAGUAA
rnacentral:rRNA from 1 species